GGAGUUAGCCGGUGCUUCUUCUGUGAGUGAUGUCCUUCCUGCCGGCUAUUAACCCGCAGGCCUUCUUCCUCACUGAAAGUGCUUUACAACCCGAAGGCCUUCUUCACACACGCGGCAUGGCUGGAUCAGGGUUGCCCCCAUUGUCCAAUAUUCCCCACUGCUGCCUCCCGUAGGAGUCUGGGCCGUGUCUCAGUCCCAGUGUGGCUGAUCAUCCUCUCAGACCAGCUACGGAUCGUAGCCUUGGUGAGCCGUUACCUCACCAACCAGCUAAUCCGACAUAGGCUCAUCCGAUAGCGCGAGGCCCGAAGGUCCCCCGCUUUCCCCCGUAGGGCGUAUGCGGUAUUAGCCUGGGUUUCCCCAGGUUAUCCCCCACUACCGGGCAGAUUCCUAUGCAUUACUCACCCGUCCGCCGCUCGCCACCAGGGAGCAAGCUCCCCGUGCUGCCGCUCGACUUGCAUGUGUUAGGCCUGCCGCCAGCGUUCAAUCUGAGCCAGAAUCAAACUCUGA
rnacentral:rRNA from 1 species